UACGUAGGGGGCAAGCGUUGUCCGGAUUUAUUGGGCGUAAAGAGCGUGUAGGCGGCUAUACAGGUCCGUUGUGAAAACUCGAGGCUCAACCUCGAGACGCCGAUGGAAACCGUAUGGCUAGAGUCCGGAAGAGGAGAGCGGAAUUCCUGGUGUAGCGGUGAAAUGCGCAGAUAUCAGGAAGAACACCCGUGGCGAAGGCGGCUCUCUGGGACGGUACUGACGCUGAGACGCGAAAGCGCGGGGAGCGAACAGG
rnacentral:rRNA from 1 species